UUAUUGGAGAGUUUGAUCCUGGCUCAGGAUGAACGCUGGCGGCGUGCCUAAUACAUGCAAGUCGAGCGAAUGGAUUAAGAGCUUGCUCUUAUGAAGUUAGCGGCGGACGGGUGAGUAACACGUGGGUAACCUGCCCAUAAGACUGGGAUAACUCCGGGAAACCGGGGCUAAUACCGGAUAACAUUUUGAACCGCAUGGUUCGAAAUUGAAAGGCGGCUUCGGCUGUCACUUAUGGAUGG
rnacentral:rRNA from 1 species